GUAUUGAUGAAUCUUUUGUUGCUCUUCUCACACACAGGUAACCACCAAAAGGGCUCAGGCUUGGUGUCAGAGUAAGAACAACAUCCCCUACUUUGAGACCAGCGCCAAAGAAGCCAUAAAUGUAGAACAGGCAUUCCAGACAAUUGCACGUAACGCCCUCAAACAAGAGACAGAGGUGGAGUUGUAUAAUGAAUUCCCAGAGCCCAUCAAACUGGACAGGAAUGACAGAGCUAAAGCUUCAGCAGAAAGCUGCAGCUGCUAAGGGACAGCUUGGACCAUCUCCUCUCUUGGCUUUCUGAAACCCCCCCCGUCACCGGUCACAUCACACCCCCCCCCCCCCCCAAGGGAAAGGGACUUCCCCUACUGGUCUUCCUCCGUCACGCAACUGUUCAUUCCAUCAACACCACCCCUCACGCAGUACGCUGCACAUGGAUGUACCCCCCACCCUCCCUUAGCACACAAAUCACACUAGCGCCAAUAGCUGACAAAUCCAGUACCCUUAGAUCACACAAGAGAAUGACAACCUCAGUGACGUCCUGUCCCACCCACUUAAUUCUAACUGGCCCCCGACUCUCACACGGAGAUGGAGCCACGUUCAAAGAGUGCAAUUGGGAACUCUAGCUGGACUGGCCGAAGCUCCGUCAUGUGAGACGAUGUUGGCUAACGUCAGCAUCCCAAGUAUCCUAUUCUCUUCCUGUUUCCUCUUUGCUUUCUAUUGCCUGUCUCUCAAAAACAAAUCAAGUUGAACUACAUAUUAUAUAUUUUAAUUGGCUGAUGUUACUUCUCAAGCCAAUCCGAAACACAAACUUGUUUUUUUUUGCACUUUCUAUUUACGUUUUUGCCUUUAAAUAUUAUAGAGGGAUGACUGAUUUUGGGCAACGUCUGUCACCACACGCCUUUUGGUGAGCUUCAAAUUAUACCUCCUCACUCGUUAUCACUGUCCAAUAUAGCCCCUGAGAAUCUGUCGAACACUUUGUGAUUGUACUGCCUUUCCCCUUCGUGCUUGUGUGUCAUUGGGUUCAUAACUGCGUCACACAGCAGAAGAAAUGUUCUAGACAUAAAGUAAAAGCUGAAAACGCAGUCACAUUGUAAAACAUGGAGUAAUUCCUCAAUAUAUUCAUAUUUGCAUUUUAUGUAACAUUACUUGUACUGCUACUAUUACUGCUGUAUGUGUCAUGUCCUUCAUCAGACAUCUUUCAACGCUUUGGAAUUACAAUCGUGUCACCAACACAGCAUACACCUUUCUUCUGUCAUGUCUUUGUUAUUGCUGUUCUCUCUAUUUGCUUGUAGCUCAGGUUGGCUUAGUACUUAAUAUUUUUAACGGAUUGUGCAUUACAGUCAUACAGUGUAUAGAUGGUAAAGGUGAAUGCCUGAUGGAUUGAACUGAAAUGGAUGUUCUCUCUUUCCAUUUUAAGAAAAGAUCCAACAUUUUGCCCUGGUAUUAUUCCUUCUCCUUAUAGAAAAUAAAUCUCUGCGAUGCCAAUGAUGUUGUCAAAGAAAAUUGGGACGUCAAAUAAUAAAACUCUUGAAUAUAUCAAUGGUCUAGCAA